rnacentral:rRNA from 1 species
AAACCAACAGGGAUUGCCUCAGUAACGGCGAGUGAAGCGGCAAAAGCUCAAAUUUGAAAUCUAGUACCUUCGGUGCUCGAGUUGUAAUUUGAAGAUGGUAACUUUGGAGUUGGCCCUUGUCUAUGUUCCUUGGAACAGGACGUCACAGAGGGUGAGAAUCCCGUCUGACGAGGUGAUCCAACUCUAUGUAAAGUGCUAUCGAAGAGUCGAGUUGUUUGGGAAUGCAGCUCUAAGUGGGUGGUAAAUUCCAUCUAAAGCUAAAUAUUGGCGAGAGACCGAUAGCGAACAAGUACAGUGAUGGAAAGAUGAAAAGAACUUUGAAAAGAGAGUGAAAAAGUACGUGAAAUUGUUGAAAGGGAAGGGUAUUAGAUCAGACUUGGCGUUUUAUGAUUAUCUUCCCUUCUUGGGUUGUGCACUCGUAUUGCGCUGGGCCAGCAUCGAUUCGGAUGGCAGGAUAAUGGCAAUUGAAUGUGGCAUCCACUUCGGUGUAUGUGUUAUAGCUUUUGUUGAUGCUGCCUAUCUGGAUCGAGGACUGCGUCUUUUGACUAGGAUGUUGGCGUAAUGAUCUAAUAUCGC